rnacentral:rRNA from 1 species
GACGAACGCUGGCGGCGUGCUUAACACAUGCAAGUCGAACGGAAAGGCCCUGCUUUUGUGGGGUGCUCGAGUGGCGAACGGGUGAGUAACACGUGAGUAACCUGCCCUUGACUUUGGGAUAACUUCAGGAAACUGGGGCUAAUACCGGAUAGGAGCUCCUGCUGCAUGGUGGGGGUUGGAAAGUUUCGGCGGUUGGGGAUGGACUCGCGGCUUAUCAGCUUGUUGGUGGGGUAGUGGCUUACCAAGGCUUUGACGGGUAGCCGGCCUGAGAGGGUGACCGGCCACAUUGGGACUGAGAUACGGCCCAGACUCCUACGGGAGGCAGCAGUGGGGAAUAUUGCACAAUGGGCGGAAGCCUGAUGCAGCAACGCCGCGUGCGGGAUGACGGCCUUCGGGUUGUAAACCGCUUUCGCCUGUGACGAAGCGUGAGUGACGGUAAUGGGUAAAGAAGCACCGGCUAACUACGUGCCAGCAGCCGCGGUGAUACGUAGGGUGCGAGCGUUGUCCGGAUUUAUUGGGCGUAAAGGGCUCGUAGGUGGUUGAUCGCGUCGGAGGUGUAAUCUUGGGGCUUAACCCUGAGCGUGCUUUCGAUACGGGUUGACUUGAGGAAGGUAGGGGAGAAUGGAAUUCCUGGUGGAGCGGUGGAAUGCGCAGAUAUCAGGAGGAACACCAGUGGCGAAGGCGGUUCUCUGGGCCUUUCCUGACGCUGAGGAGCGAAAGCGUGGGGAGCGAACAGGCUUAGAUACCCUGGUAGUCCACGCUGUAAACGGUGGGUACUAGGUGUGGGGUCCAUUCCACGGGUUCCGUGCCGUAGCUAACGCUUUAAGUACCCCGCCUGGGGAGUACGGCCGCAAGGCUAAAACUCAAAGGAAUUGACGGGGCCCCGCACAAGCGGCGGAGCAUGCGGAUUAAUUCGAUGCAACGCGUAGAACCUUACCUGGGUUUGACAUGGAUCGGGAGUGCUCAGAGAUGGGUGUGCCUCUUUUGGGGUCGGUUCACAGGUGGUGCAUGCCUGUCGUCAGCUCGUGUCGUGAGAUGUUGGGUUAAGUCCCGCAACGAGCGCAACCCUUGUUCACUGUUGCCAGCACGUUAUGGUGGGGACUCAGUGGAGACCGCCGGGGUCAACUCGGAGGAAGGUGGGGAUGACGUCAAGUCCUCAUGCCCCUUAUGUCCAGGGCUUCACGCAUGCUACAAUGGCUGGUACAGAGAGUGGCGAGCCUGUGAGGGUGAGCGAAUCUCGGAAAGCCGGUCUCAGUUCGGAUUGGGGUCUGCAACUCGACCUCAUGAAGUCGGAGUCGCUAGUAAUCGCAGAUCAGCAACGCUGCGGUGAAUACGUUCCCGGG